rnacentral:rRNA from 1 species
UACGGGGGGGGCAAGCGUUGUUCGGAAUUACUGGGCUUAAAGGGCUCGUAGGUGGCCAACUAAGCCAGACGUGAAAUCCCUCGGCUUAACCGGGGAACUGCGUCUGAUACUGGAUGGCUUGAGUUCGGGAGAGGGAUGCGGAAUUCCAGGUGUAGCGGUGAAAUGCGUAGAUAUCUGGAGGAACACCGGUGGCGAAGGCGGCAUCCUGGACCGACACUGACACUGAGGAGCGAAAGCCAGGGGAGCAAACGGG